rnacentral:rRNA from 1 species
UACACUCCUACGGGAGGCAGCAGUGGGGAAUAUUGCACAAUGGGCGCAAGCCUGAUGCAGCGACGCCGCGUGGGGGAUGAAGGCCUUCGGGUUGUAAACUCCUUUCGCUAGGGACGAAGCUUUUUUGUGACGGUACCUAGAUAAGAAGCACCGGCUAACUACGUGCCAGCAGCCGCGGUAAUACGUAGGGUGCGAGCGUUUUCCGGAAUUACUGGGCGUAAAGGGCUCGUAGGUGGUUUGUCGCGUCGUCUGUGAAAUUCUGGGGCUUAACUCCGGGCGUGCAGGCGAUACGGGCAUAACUUGAGUGCUGUAGGGGUAACUGGAAUUCCUGGUGUAGCGGUAAAAUGCGCAGAUAUCAGGAGGAACACCGAUGGCGAAGGCAGGUUACUGGGCAGUUACUGACGCUGAGGAGCGAAAGCAUGGGUAGCGAACAGGAUUAGAAACCCCAGUAGUCCCAUGAU